rnacentral:rRNA from 1 species
GACGAACGCUGGCGGCGUGCUUAACACAUGCAAGUCGAACGGAAAGGCCCUGCUUGCAGGGUGCUCGAGUGGCGAACGGGUGAGUAACACGUGGGUGAUCUGCCCCUUACUUUGGGAUAAGCCUGGGAAACUGGGUCUAAUACUGGAUAGGACCAUGCUGUAGGUGGUGUGGUGGAAAGAUUAGUUUCGGUAAGGGAUGAGCUCGCGGCCUAUCAGCUUGUUGGUGGGGUAAUGGCCUACCAAGGCGUCGACGGGUAGCCGGCCUGAGAGGGUGGACGGCCACAUUGGGACUGAGAUACGGCGCAGAAUCCUACGGGAGGCAGCAGUGGGGAAUAGUGCACAAUGGGCGCAAGCCUGAUGCAGCGACGCCGCGUGGGGGAUGACGGCCUUCGGGUUGUAAACUCCUUUCAGCCAUGACGAAGCCCUUGUGGUGACGGUAGUGGUAGAAGAAGCACCGGCUAACUACGUG